rnacentral:rRNA from 1 species
AUUGAACGCUGGCGGCAGGCCUAACACAUGCAAGUCGAGCGGAGCGGCGGACGGGUGAGUAAUGCCUAGGAAUCUGCCUGGUAGUGGGGGAUAACGUCCGGAAACGGGCGCUAAUACCGCAUACUAUCAGAUGAGCCUAGGUCGGAUUAGCUAGUUGGGGGGGUAAAGGCCUACCAAGGCGACGAUCCGUAACUGGUCUGAGAGGAUGAUCAGUCACAAUGGAAAUGGGACACGGUCCAGGCUCCAUCGGGGGGGAGCCAGGGGGAAUAUUGGGCAAUGGGCGAAAACCUGAUCCAGCCCAGCCGCGUUUGUUGAGAAGGUUUUCGGGUCGUAAAGCUCUUUGAGAAGGAAGGCGGUACUUAACGAAUAAGGAACGGCUAACUACGUGCCAGCAGCCGCGGUAAUUC